AACAUCAUGGAGAGUUUGAUCCUGGCUCAGAACGAACGCUGGCGGCGCGUUUUAAGCAUGCAAGUCGGACGGUAGAGGGGAGCGAUUCUCUUGAGAGUGGCGAACGGGUGAGUAACACGUAGGUGAUCUGUCCUGGGUUUGGGGAUAGCCUGUGGAAACACGGGGUAAUACCGAAUACGCUCUGGGGGCUGUGGUCUCUGGAGGAAAGGCGCGGGUGCGUCGACCUGGGGGGAGCCUGCGGUCCAUUAGCUAGUUGGUGGGGUAAGGGCCUACCAAGGCGAUGAUGGAUAGCCGGCCUGAGAGGGUGUACGGCCACACUGGGACUGAGAUACGGCCCAGACUCCUACGGGAGGCAGCAGCUAAGAAUCUUCCGCAAUGGGCGCAAGCCUGACGGAGCGACGCCGCGUGGACGAUGAAGGCCGCAAGGUUGUAAAGUCCUUUUCUCUGUGAAGAAUAAGCGGGGGAGGAAAUGCCCCUGUGAUGACGUUAGCGGAGGAAUAAGCCCCGGCUAAUUACGUGCCAGCAGCCGCGGUAAUACGUAAGGGGCGAGCGUUGUUCGGAAUCAUUGGGUGUAAAGGGCGCGUAGGCGGCUUGGCAAGUCUGGUGUGUAAGGCUACAGCUUAACUGUAGUUAGGCGCUGGAAACUGCGAGGCUGGAGUGCAGGAGAGGGAGCUGGAAUUCCAGGUGUAGGGGUGAAAUCUGUAGAGAUCUGGAAGAACACCGGUGGCGAAGGCGAGCUCCUGGUCUGUAACUGACGCUGAGGCGCGAAAGCGUGGGGAGCGAACAGGAUUAGAUACCCUGGUAGUCCACGCUGUAAACGAUGUACACUAGGUGUUGGUCCAGAAGGAUCGGUGCCGGAGCAAACGCGUUAAGUGUACCACCUGGGGAGUACGCCGGCAACGGUGAAACUCAAAGGAAUUGACGGGGGCCCGCACAAGCGGUGGAGUAUGUGGUUUAAUUCGAUGGUACGCGAGGAACCUUACCAGGGUUUGACAUGUGCAGCGAGUCGUGAGAGAUCCCGAUGCCCUUCGGGGGCUGCACACAGGUGCUGCAUGGCUGUCGUCAGCUCGUGCCGUGAGGUGUUGGGUUAAGUCCCGCAACGAGCGCAACCCCUAUCUCUAGUUGCCAACAGGUUGAGCUGGGGACUCUAGAGAGACUGCCGGUGACAAACCGGAGGAAGGUGGGGAUGACGUCAAGUCAUCAUGGCCCUUAUGUCCUGGGCUACACACGUACUACAAUGGUCGGUACAAAGCGAGGCGAAACCGCGAGGUGGAGCGAACCGCAGAAAGCCGGCCUCAGUUCGGAUUGGAGUCUGAAACCCGACUCCAUGAAGGUGGAAUCGCUAGUAAUCGCGCAUCAGCAUGGCGCGGUGAAUACGUUCCCGGGCCUUGUACACACCGCCCGUCACACCACCCGAGUUGGGGGUACCCGAAGUCGGUAGUCUAACCUGCGAGGGGGGACGCCGCCGAAGGUACGCCUGGUGAGGGGGGUGAAGUCGUAACAAGGUAGCCGUACCGGAAGGUGCGGCUGGAUCACCUCCUUUCUA
rnacentral:rRNA from 1 species